rnacentral:misc_RNA from 1 species
UCCGGUUUAUCACCGGCAGUCCCCUUAGAGUUCCCGGCCGAACCGCUGGCAACUAAGGGUAGGGGUUGCGCUCGUUGCGGGACUUAACCCAACAUCUCACGACACGAGCUGACGACAACCAUGCACCACCUGUGAACCGACCGCAAGCGGGGCACCUGUUUCCAGGUAUUUCCGGUCCAUGUCAAACCCAGGUAAGGUUCUUCGCGUUGCAUCGAAUUAAUCCGCAUGCUCCGCCGCUUGUGCAGGCCCCCGUCAAUUUCUUUGAGUUUUAAUCUUGCGACCGUACUUCCCAGGCGGCACGUUUAUCGCGUUAGCUUCGCCACAAGAGGGGUCGAUUCCUCUUACAGCAAACGUGCACCGUUUACGGCUAGGACUAC